AGAUCAAAGAACAAUUGAAUGCAGAGUCGGUUACUGUAACGGAUAUGUCUGGAGAUGGACGUCAUGUCU
rnacentral:sRNA from 1 species